CCUUAGAACUUGUAAAGGGGCUGUUUAGCCAAUGUGCCUGGCUUCCUCCGUGAACCCAGGCAAAGUAGAGCAGGCAUGUCUGCAGGAGAUGUGCUGUGAGAAAAGGAGCGUCUCUGACAAGGUUCCUGGUGUUUCCUGCUCACGGCCCCCUCAGGAAGUGGAAUAUGCGGCAGCAGUGUAAAAUGAACAAACAGCAGGAAAGAGAUAGGCCUGACCCAAAACUCUGGCUCUCAUCACUCGCAAACAGGAGGCAACAGGAUUCUUGCAAAGAAUAUGGCUGCUACGACACCUGGCAUAUAGACAUGUCCUUUGGUCUGAGGAUCUGAAAGUGCUUCACAAAGGUAUCCCCCUCAGAAGAUCCACCACAGCUCUGGCGCUCUUGUGGACGGUUGCGCAGCACAGAUGCAAAGGAAAGAGGAGAGUAUGGAACUACACUCUAGUCUCUCCCCAUACCUAGGGAGAGUUUCAGGGCAGUUAUGAGGCACAUUGGCAAGGGAUAA